rnacentral:rRNA from 1 species
GUGUCAGCAGCCGCGGUAAGACAGAGGGGGCAAGCGUUGCUCGGAAUCACUGGGCGUAAAGGGCGCGUAGGCGGGCCGAUAAGUCGGUCGUGAAAUCUGCGGGCUCAACCCGGAGGGGACGGCCGAGACUGUGGGUCUUGAGGGGAGCAGAGGAGUCUGGAAUUCCCGGUGUAGCGGUGAAAUGUGUAGAGAUCGGGAGGAACACCGGUGGCGAAGGCGGGGCUCUGGGCUCGACCUGACGCUGAGGCGCGAAAGCGUGGGGAGCAAACGGGAUUAGAUACCCCCGUAGUCC